rnacentral:rRNA from 1 species
AGCGAACGCUGGCGGCAGGCCUAAUACAUGCAAGUCGAACGGCUCUUCGGAGCAGUGGCGGACGGGUGAGUAACGCGUGGGAAUGUGCCCUUAGGUACGGAACAACACAGGGAAACUUGUGCUAAUACCGUAUGUNCCCUUCGGGGGAAAGAUUUAUCGCCUUUGGAGCAGCCCGCGUUGGAUUAGCUAGUUGGUGAGGUAAAGGCUCACCAAGGCGACGAUCCAUAGCUGGUCUGAGAGGAUGAUCAGCCACACUGGGACUGAGACACGGCCCAGACUCCUACGGGAGGCAGCAGUAGGGAAUCUUGCGCAAUGGGCGAAAGCCUGACGCAGCCAUGCCGCGUGUAUGAUGAAGGUCUUAGGAUUGUAAAAUACUUUCACCGGGGAAGAUAAUGACGGUACCCGGAGAAGAAGCCCCGGCUAACUUCGUGC